rnacentral:rRNA from 1 species
CUGGCGGCGUGCUUAACACAUGCAAGUCGAGCGAUGAAGCUCUUCGGAAGUGGAUUAGCGGCGGACGGGUGAGUAACACGUGGGUAACCUGCCUCAUAGAGGGGAAUAGCCUUUCGAAAGGAAGAUUAAUACCGCAUAAGAUUGUAAUGUCGCAUGACGUAGCAAUUAAAGGAGUAAUCCGCUAUGAGAUGGACCCGCGUCGCAUUAGCUAGUUGGUGAGGUAACGGCUCACCAAGGCGACGAUGCGUAGCCGACCUGAGAGGGUGAUCGGCCACAUUGGGACUGAGACACGGCCCAGACUCCUACGGGAGGCAGCAGUGGGGAAUAUUGCACAAUGGGGGAAACCCUGAUGCCAGCAACGCCGCGUGAGUGAUGACGGUCUUCGGAUUGUAAAGCUCUGUCUUUAGGGACGAUAAUGACGGUACCUAAGGAGGAAGCCACGGCUAACUACGUGCCAGCCGCCGC